GCUCCCGUAGCUCAGUGGAUUAGAGCGCUGGCCUCCUAAGCCAGCGGUCGUGAGUUCGAACCUCACCUGGAGUU